AAUGCCACGGCCAGACAAAGGCUCUCCUGUUGGGGAGGAGCUAGCCCCCGGCUGUGGCCUGGCGAUGGCACUUCUUGCUCAAGCAUUUACAGGGAAGCCAAGCCCUCCCACAUCCUUGGGUGAAUCAGUGCCCCCGGGCACCCGUUUGAGGAAAGACCUUGCCCCACAGACACGCACCACCGGAGAUGCCAAACGGACGUGGGAGUGGAGAUGGCAGCAGACAGCUGGACCUCCGAGUCCGGAGCGCAGGGGAGAGGCCCGGGCUCGAGAGAGGACUUGGCGUCAUCGGGCGAGGUCAGUGCUGGUCACUCUGGAACCUUCUCCUCCUUCCUGCUGGUUGGAGUGCGAAUCUCACGGGAAACCGUCUUGGACCGAAUGGGCUCCUGGGCCGACUUCAGUAGCUUGGAGGUUACGUGAAGACGGAGAAAUGCGCUCCCCGUUGGCCCAGAGAGCCUGACACGGUGUGAGCUCAGUAGCAACCCGUUGAAAGCAUGAGUGAGUUCCCGUGUCGUGCCAGCGCCCUGACCGCUGCUGUCCCAAGACUGGGUGGCUCCUGACCCAUCGCCCGUCAUGCGCUUGGACGAUGAUGGUCUCUGUGACGGGCCGGUUCCCACGAGGUUGAUUGAAGGUCGGGGAAGACAGCGCCCAUCCAGCUGCAGGACUCUGAGGGUGUGAGCCUCGGACCAGGUCACAAGUUCUCCCCUUCCUGUCUGUUGAGCGAGGGGUUCACGCGACUUCGCAGCUCCGUGGCGACUGCGCCUCCCCUGUGGGUGACGCCCCCGGACAGAGUCACAGCAGCGGCAGGCAGCCCGCCGGGCAGCCCUGGAGCUGUGGGGAUGCAAGAACCACCACGGCCUUGUGUGCAACAGAUUUUCAGAGCCGUGCCUGUCCCAGGAAACAGCCGUGCAGAGCUCCCGCCUCCCGUGGCCUGCAGGUCUUCUCGGUCCACUGGGUGUGAGUGUCUUCUGCCCGCGGUCUGCCCUGCGUGAGCCUCCCCUCCUGACCGGGGCAGCCCGCGCCCACCAGCCGUGGCCGCUGGUUCCUGAGAUGGCGGAACCGUGAGAGACUUGCCAGCUGCCCAGACGAACCCCGUCCGUGCAGUUGGCCCCGGGACCCCUCGUCUCAGGGCCCCGAGAUCCAGUUCCCCCGCGGAAGCCGCUCCCUCCAGACCGCACUUCCUCCCCUGGGUCUCACCCCUCGCCUCUCCCUCGCCUCGGCUGAGAACCCAGGUCUGGAACGGGCGUCCCUCAGAAGUGCUCCCACGUACUCUCGCUGUUGUGUUUUCGCUGUCAGACUGGGGGCUCAGGGGCCAGCCUGUGUCCUGGCCACUCGCCCUGGUAGCUGGCACCUGGGUGUCCCGCCGCGUAUUUGCUGAACAAAGGAGAAGAUGAACCAGUGAACGAUUCUUCGUGCCUGGGGUGACCUUAACCCUAGCCUGGGUGCUUGGCUAAGCUGUGGCCUUGAGCCCCCAGUGAGGCUCCCGGGCCUUCCUCUUGGUAAAAAAUACUUUCAGACUCCUGAUUAUUUCCUUGUUUGGGGGCCAACCCCCAAUCUGCUCCUCUGAACUCCCUGUGGCUUCUGACACCACGUUGCAGCUCCUUGCCCUAAAGCCACACCCUCGUGGCUGCCACUGCCACCCAGGGUCCCUGUGUGGGCCAGUUCCACCACCCGCUGUGUGGGGACCCCCGGCACAGCCCGCCCACCCCUCGGCACGUGUUGUCUCUCCUGAGGAGCACAGAAAGGGAGUCUGUUCGGAGGAGAGGACCGAGGCCAGCCCACGGGGUCCCGAGCAGCUGUGACUCUCUCGGUGCAUGACAUGUCCCUUCAGCAUGGACAGAUGAGGGGUGAUUAUUUUUUAAACUUUUUGUUUUGAGAUCACUGCAGAUUCACACAUAGCUGUAAGAAAUGAGGCAGAGAGAACUGUGUGCCUUUGACUCGGUUUCCCCAGUGGUGACACCUCCAGCGCUCUGGUACAGCGUCACAGCCGGGAGGGUGUCGACAACGACACCGUCAAGAUACGGAGCAUUUCCACCACCGCGGGCGUCUCUCGCGCUGGUCUUUGUGUCCGCACCCACUUUCUCUUCUGCGCCUCCCCCACCCUUACCUCCCUCCAGCAGCUGACGUGCACGUCACCAUAUUUUUUCGGACUGUAAGACGCACUCUGCCCCCCAAAUUUGGGAGGAAAAGGGGGGUGUGUCUUAUAGUCCGAAUGGAGCUUUACAUUUACAUUGGUGAAAUAUUAUGUUAUUUAUGUUAUUAAAUAUUUUACCAUAUUUUUUGCUUCAAAAAUUUUGUUCCUAUUUUCUUCCUCUAAAACCUAGGUGUGCCUUAUAGUCCGAAAGAUAAGGUAUGUAACUUUGUCCUUUCAAGAAUUUUAUCUAUGUGUGUAUCUGUGGGGUCAUACAGCAUGCAACCUUGACUUUUUUGCCUAGCGUGAUUAUCUGGAGACUCACCAGGUUGCUGCUUGUAUCACAGUUCGCCUCCUUUUAUUGCUCGCCAGUUGUCCACGAUAUGGACAUACCACAGUCGCUUAACCACUCACCUGUUGAGAGACAUCUGGGUUCCUUCCAGUCUGUGGUUAUUACAAAUAACACUGCUGCAGACAUUCCUGGACAGGUCUUUGUGUGAACGUAAGUUUUCCUUUUUCUGGGAUGAGUGCCCAGGGGAGCAUUGCUGGGCUGCAUGGUAGUUGCGUAUUUAGUUUUAUAGGAAGCUAUUAAACCGUGUUCCAGAGUGACGGUACCAUUUCAACUUCCCAUUAGCAAUCCGAUUUCAAUUGUUAGCUAGUGACUGGUUUCUCUGUAUCCUUGCCAGCACUUGGUGUCGCCACUAUGUAUUAUUUUAGCCCUUCUUUUAGGCGUAUAGUAGUAUCUCAUUUUUUAAUGCCGAGUGAUUUUGAAAACCUUUUCAUGUGCUUAUUUUUGUCUGUAUAUCCUUUUCAGUCAAAUGUUUUUCAUGUCUUUUGAAAAAUAUUUUCUAACUGGAUUUUUUUCUUGUUUGUUUACUAUUGGGUUUCGAGGGUCCUUUGUAUGGUCUAGACACUAAUCCUGACCCGAUAGCCCUCCUUUUGCUAAUAUCACACAGCCUUGACUAGUGUAACUAUGUAAUUAGCCUUGGAAUUGGGUAGACUGGGUCCUCCCACCUCAUUCUUUCUGUAACAGUGGAAACUCAUAGUGUGGGGAAUUGUAACCCACCCCGGCAUUCUUCUGACAUUGUUUCUGUAAGCGUCAACUCUGACUAAUGUGUGGCUUGUGGAUGAACAGCAUGUUUGCAGAAGAAUCCUAGGAACUAGCCUCAAAAGACACAGACUCUGACCUCCAGGCAUCCCAGUGCCAGGAGACUGGCUGACCUUCAUCCAUGGAGCCGGGACGACUAAACCAGGAUGACGCACACCGGACCGUCACUUGCCUUAUGGGAACAGACUGUGCUCCCUGGCACACAGACAGCUUUGCAACCCCUUCCCUUGAUCUCUUUGUUCUGUUCCCCUCCUGCUCCUUAUAAAAGCCUCUGCCUCCACUGAGAGGCGGGGAUGGGCUUUGAGACAGGAGUCCCCCAUCCUCCAGGUGGCCGGCACCUGAAAGUAAACCACUUUACAACAGCGCCUGCCUCUUGAGUGUUGGCUUUCGUAGUGGCAGGCAGUUGGACCUGCCUUUGGUACAUUUCUUUGCAAAUUAUUUUAGCUAUUCUGGUUUUUGCUAUUCUAUGUAAACCUUACAAUAAUCUUGUCUCUAUCUAAAAAAACUUGCUGAGAUUUUGGUAGGAACUGUGUUAACCUGUAUAUUAUUUGUUUGGAGAGAACUGACAUUUUUAUGGUGUUGAGUCUCUCAAUCCAUGAGUAUGCUAUGUCUCUUAAUUUACUUAAAUUCUUCUUGUUUUUUUAAUCAAUAUUUUAAGCAUGUAAGUUCUGUACAUGUUUUGUUGAAUUUAU